AGUCCUGUAGCUCAGUGGUUAGAGCACUCGCCCAGCAAGUGAGCAACCUGGGUUUGAUUCCCAGCAGGGCAA